CCGAAGCGAAAGCGAGUCUGAACAGGGCGCUUGAGUCAGUGGGGUAGACGCGAAACCUUGUGAUCUACCAUGACCAGGUUGAAGGUGAGGUAACACUCACUGGAGGACCGAACCAGGGGACGUUGAAAAGUCCUUGGAUGAGUUGUGGGUAGGGGUGAAAGGCUAAUCAAACUGGGAAAUAGCUCGUACUCCCCGAAAUGCAUUUAGGUGCAGCCUCGGUUACGAGCCUUGCAGAGGUAGAGCUACUGAUUGGAUGCGAGGGCUUCACCGCCUAUCAACUCCAGACAAAACUCCGAAUGCUGCAAGGUGCUCACCGGGAGUGAGGGCGCGGGUGCUAAGGUCCGCGUCCGAGAGGAAAAGAAUCCGGACCAACAGCUAAGGUCCCCAAGUGUAUGUUAAGUUGAAUUAACGGGGUCUGAUUGCAGAGACAGCUAGGAUGUUGGCUUGGAAGCAGCCAUUCAUUUAAAGAGUGCGUAACAGCUCACUAGUCGAGCGAUCGGGCAUGGAUAAUAAUCGGGC
rnacentral:rRNA from 1 species